GACGAACGCUGGCGGCGUGCUUAACACAUGCAAGUCGAACGGAAAGGCCCUGCGUUUGUGGGGUGCUCGAGUGGCGAACGGGUGAGUAACACGUGAGUAACCUGCUCUUGACUUUGGGAUAACUUCAGGAAACUGGGGCUAAUACCGGAUAGGAGCUCCUGUUGCAUGGAGGGGGUUGGAAAGUUUCGGCGGUCGGGGAUGGACUCGCGGCUUAUCAGCUUGUUGGUGGGGUAGUGGCUUACCAAGGCUUUGACUGGUAGCCGGCCUGAGAGGGUGACCGGGGACAUUGGGACUGAGGUACGGACCAGACUCGUACGGGAGACAACGGGGGGGAAUCUUGCACAAUGGGCGGGAGCCUGAUGCAGAGGCGCCGCGUGCGGGAUGACGGCCUUCGGGUUGUGAACCGCUGUCGCCUAUGACGAAGCGUGAGUGACGGUAAUGAAUAAAGAAGCACCGGCUAACUACGUG
rnacentral:rRNA from 1 species